rnacentral:misc_RNA from 1 species
GAUGAAGAACGUAGCGAAAUGCGAAAAGUAAUGUGAAUUGCAGAAUUCAGUGAACCAUCGAAUCUUUGAACGCACAUUGCGCCCGCUGGAACUCCGGCGGGCACGCCUGUCCGAGCGUCAUUUCAACCCUCAGGCCCCCCUUCGCGGGCGGGCCUGGUGUUGGGGCCCGGCCGCUACCCUGCGGCCGUCCCCUAAAUUCAGUGGCGGCCUCGCCGUGAUCCCUUGCGUAGUAAUGCACCUCGCACCGGGGAGCGCCGUGGCCACGCCGUAAAACCCCCAAUUUUCAAUGGUUGACCUCGGAUCAGGUGGGAAUACCCGCUGAACUUAAGCAUAUCAAUAAGCGGAGGA